CUCUGAAAUUUGGAGAGAGAGGCAAGCCCACAGAGUUGUAACUGAGAUUUUCAUCUAGGGCAAAAGCUGCAGGAACCAGACAAUUACAGAAACACUUAAAAUUUUAACAAAUUGCCAAAGUUGAGUACAGGAUAGCAUGGCAGUGAGAAACUCCUGGGGAUCAAAUCUUAGGUGGAACUCUCUCAUUUUCAAUGCUAGGAAGACCACCAAUUCUCAAAUAAAGAUCCAACAAAUAUUCCCUUUCUACACUAGCAGAAGGAGGGUACAAACAAUCAUUGUGAAAUAUGCCCAGAGCAGUGUCCAUCAAAGGGGCCUACUCUCCAGGGGAAAAGACUUGACCAGACUCUUCGCUCAAGGCAGAGAAAGUCAUCGCUCCCACCAGAUCACGCUCGCCUUCCUGUUUCGCCAAAGGAAGGAGGAGCUAUGUCAAGGAUACAUGAAGAUCACAGUUCAGAGACAGAUCUACUUACAGACUAAGAUCUGGUUAUACAAUAAUAGAAUGCUUAUCCUCCCUCAAAUCUUGCUUCCACAAGAGGAUUCCAGCAUUGACAGUGAAUUACACAGCCAAAGGGAUGCAAGGCACAGGUUCUUCAACAAAAGGCCAAAAUCGAGAAGGGAGACAAAACAAUACCCCUAGAGCAAUUUCUCCAGCCUGCUAUCCUGCCCUGCAGAUUUUGAAAUUGUCAGACCCCACAAUUGAAUGAGACUUCCUUAAAACCAAGAAAUCAAUCUCUCUCUCUCAUCUGUGUAUAUUCACACACAUAUUGCUACAUAUAAACACACAUAUGUGUGUGUGUGUAUAUAUAUAUAUGUAUAUCCAACUGUGCAACAUUUUUUGUUUGUGUUUAUGUGGAGAAUCUUGAUGAAUACACUAGGGACAGAGUAUGAAUGGGUCUCUAAUUCUAUCACAGUAACUCUUCUAGGUUUUGCUUUAGCAUCUAACAUCAGUUUUCAAUAAUUGCAUACAUCGUUAAGUAGGUAACACACAAUUCUUUCCUCUUAUGAAAUAACUAUGAUACGUAAGGGAAAAUUAUUUACAGCCUUCUAGCCUCCAAAAUUCAUCCUCUCCUACUGCCAUCAUGCAGCUUAGCUUCAGGUAUAGGACCUACAUCUUGCUAGACAUGAUGUUCCAGAAAGUCAUAGUCCAUAUGCCUUGAAUUGUGUAUCGUGACAGCCUAAAGUAUUUGGUCUCUUAAAUAAUGUAGCCUGAAGAAAACUGGCCAGUAUUCACAGUGAAAGUCUUUACAAAAAUCAUGAUAAAUACAGCAUCAGAUAUUAAGGUAAAAAUUAGAAUAUGUAUUACUCAUGGAAAGAGUAGUAACACAAAAGAUGGAUAUUAUCAUUCCAGUAGCAAAUGAUCUAUAUU
rnacentral:lncRNA from 1 species